rnacentral:lncRNA from 1 species
AACCGGUUGGCCAUCAAGAUGGCUCACUCUCGUGGCUGACAGUCGAUUCUGGCUACUGGGCGAGAGCUCAGCUGUGGCUGUCAGGGCUCACACAUGGCUUCCCCAUGUGACUGGCAACCUGGGACCCAAGCGUGGGAGUUGGGUUCCAAGGGCGAGUGUCCGCAAAGCAAACUUUCCAAGAGACCCACUCGUUGAAGCUCCAAGGCUUCUUACAAUCUACGGGAAUGACUACUGGGAGAUUUUAAAAGAUGAGGAAACCAAGUCACGGACAGGUGAAGUAACUUGGCCCGGCCCUUUAACUCCAAGUCCAGGACUCCUUGCCUUCAUGGUUUGUAAAUCAGGAGCUGGAGUGCUGCCGUCUGUUGAAGCCCUGCUCGCCGUUCCCAGCAUGAGGCUGGGUCCCCAGAAGAGGCUGAACCUAUGCUUGCUAAUGAAACAAAGGUCUUUUCUUUGAGAACUCACCAAAAGAAAGGGUUGCUUGGGUCUAUCUCUCUGGUGUACUUCACAGGACUUGAGAAAUGCAAACACAUUUUCAUUUACUAAGUAUGCAGGACAGGCAGACUCCCCCUGAACAGCCAUCUUUGAGAAGAGAGGUGUAAACCGGAGCACCCUGGAGCAGCUCCCUGCACCCUCCUUUGCUGCAGACACGGGUUGGCAUCCACGCUUGGCAGGGACACAGUUCCUCUCUCAUUCUCUCUGUAACAACUGCUGUUCUGCCCAGCGUGUUGUAGUUUACAAAGCCCUUUCACAUGUUCCCUCACGUGACACUCCCCGGAGACCUUGUGAGUUGGGUAUUAUUCUUAUUUUAAAGGAAAGGAAAAGCUGAUGGAAAGCGGAAGGGUAACCGGCUCAAAGAAAUGCAGUUAGUAAAAAUCAAAACUAGAACCUGAAUAACUGUCUUUGGACCCCAAACGCCAGCCCCUCCUGCUCUCCUGCAGCCCCCAGUGUCCUGAGGUUCCUCUGGGGCGUUCCCUGUAUUUGAGGACCCGCCAUG